GCUGCUUGGAGCUUUGUGGAAUUCCACCUUCCUCCCCCAUUCGUUGCGGGUCAUUAACCCCUUUCUCUUAUUCUUCCUAUUAUCAUUCUUGCUCAGCUUGCAGAGAUUUUAUUUGAAAUUCAAAAUCAAAUAAAUAUUUAGGAGAAUACAAAAGCUACCUAAAGUUGCAGAGAUUUUCUAAAUUUUUGUUGCCUCUAGAUCCAAAGAAGGGAAACCAUAGUUUCUUCUUCAUUUCUUCACGGUUCUUUUUCAAGGAAGGCAAGGAGAUUCAUUUCUCUUUCCAAAUCGCAUUUUUAGAUCUGAGCAGAGUUAGGUGAGUGCUAUUUUUUUUUUAAAAAAAAGAAGAUUUAAUGUCUUUGUUCUCUAAUUCUAACCAACAAUUUUUUUUAUGUCAGGAUGUAGAUGAUUUGGUUGGAUAUGUUCCUCCAGUGAGACUUGAUGUUGUAUUUUCUAUGUGGAAUUCAAAAAAGAGUUGGUUGUUGAUUCUUCAGGUUUUUCCUUUCUUAUGAUAUUCUAUAAAGUGACUGAUUCUUUAUAGCUAAAGAAGUAACAAUUUUGAUUCUGUGAAUUUUGAAUAAUUGAAAAGAAAUCUUUAGUUGUGUAUGAAUGCUGAGCCAAAUUGCUUUAUGUUUCAAAUCUUCUAAAACCCCCCAUUUUCAUGAUAUAUACAACAGUGUAAUAUCAUGUAAUAAUGAAAUAUUGUUCCCCUAUGUAUUCAUUCUGCUUUAUUUCUCUAGGUCAUAUCCUCAAAUUAGGUAUUAGCAACUUUUUUAAAUUAAUAACCUUUCUUUCGUUGCUUGGAAGUUCGCAGAAGGUGGGAAAACAUUGUUGUUCAACCUUUUCAAAGGCUAUAUUAGCAAUGUAAUCUGCUAAUGAAUUUCCCUCUCUGAAAACAUGUUGAAGCCUCACUUGACAUAACUGAGCUAGAUCCUUAAUGUCUCCUAUUAUAGUAGAAAUCAACCAGGGAAUCUUCUAAACUCCAGAAAGAAUAUGAACCAUAAUUGAAGAAUCAGUCUUCAAAAUCACCUUAUUGAGGCUCAUAGAAACACAAUGAUAAAUGAUAUUUUCGAUUGCAAUUGCUUCUUCCUCAGUAUCUGUUGUCUCAUGAAUUUCCUCCCUUUGAGCAUAUAUUAGAUCUCCUUUAUGAUUCCUUAAACAAUAACCAUAGGAACUCUUGUGGGGAUUGUCUCUAGACGCGCCAUAUGUAUUACAUUUAAACACUUUCCGUCAGGUGGUUUUCAUGUGUUAGCUAAAGAGAAAAGUUUAGGUUAAUAGUUUUGCAGUAAAACCACCAUGUCUAGCCAGUUGGUAGGUACUUGAUUAAUAGGGCAAGUGAUUUUUACUAGUCUUCAUAUACUUGGGGUCACCUGAUAAACAAGACUAUUGUAUGACAAUUUCUUCCCAUUCUUAAUGUUAUUUCUCCUUUUUCAUAAUUCAUAAAUGCCACAUAACUAUUGUUGGAAUAGCCAAACUUAUAGAUCUCAGUUUUGGACAGAAUGGUGUUGUCCACCACUGAAUGAUCACCUGUGAAAGUUGUAGGUCAUCUAAAUGUAUUCUUACAAAAAAUAGCAAACUGCCUCCACAACUUUACGAGCACCCGAUCACUUGCCUAAAAACACUUUUAAUUACUAAUCAAAAUAUUUAUAUUUCAUAAUUAGGAAAAUAUGGUUAAAUAGGUUUAUUUGUAUGCUAAGUAAAAGUUAUAAGAUGAAAUUUAUGUAAUUCUACCUACUAUCUUGAUCACUAAUCGUAUCUUUCUUAAUUAAAUAAAACUUAAAUAAGUUUCAUUGUUCUUUAAAUGUAUGAAUUAAAUUAAAUGUAUUUUUUAAAUUGAAAAAUGUGAUCCUACCUAAAUUAAUUUUUAGGAUACUGAUUUUUGUAAAUCCAUUUUUUGACUGCACGAAGCAUGAGUAUAUUUACUAGAUAUUAUAUAUUUUUGUUAAUUUGAGUUGAAAGAUGAGUAUUUCGGUACAUAUUACACUAUUGAUCUUCUUUUGCUUCACUCUCUUUCGACCCUCUUAGACAUCCUCCAUGAAAAGUAGAACUCUCUUCAACCUUGCUUAGCAUAUAGUAGUCAAUCAUUAUAUAGUUAAACAAAUAGAGAUAAAUGAACAAGUCAAUUAUAUAAAAGCGUAACAAGAAUUCUUUUUACAAAAUGUUUUAUCAAAACUCUAGAAAAUAAUAUAGCUGCUCAUAAUAGAGUUUAAGAACCUAAUAUAGAUUUACAUAAAAAAGAAUAAGUACUAAAAGAGUAGAAGUGAAUGAAACUCUAGGGGGAAUUGCAAGUUAUGCUCUUCCCCUCUUUCUUGCCCCCCAAAAGCUCCAAAACUGCAAAAGCAGUGUCCCCCUUAGGCCAUCAAGUUAAUGCACUAUUUAUACCGCACAUAUUUACUCUGUGGAUAACAAUAUCUUUCAGUCAAAAUAAAUCCAAACUCAGUAAUUUUUGGUCAUACACGAAGCGGUAUGGGUAGUGUGGCCAUGUUGUGCAUGGUUGACUCCGGUAACUCUCUUUUUAGCCUUGAUCCAUGUUUUCCUCUUGGCGCAGCGCGGGCCUGGUAGCAUGACCAUGCUGCAUACGACUUGUUGUUGAACUCUCACAAUUCUCUUGACAUUUUUAUGUCCAUUUGACUCUCGACUCUCAGACUCAAUCUUGAUCACAUUCCUCAUGCCUCUAUUCCGACUUUGAAGCUUCAUAACACUUCAUUUUUUUUCUUCAAACAUGCCUAUUAGCUCUAACAAAACUUUUAUGCAAAGAAGCACACGUAAUAAGCACAUAAUGAUUAUAAAAAUGAUUAAAUGAUGGUAGAAAAAUACAUAUGAAGACUUUAUGACAAUUAAAUGUAUGUAUUUUAUACUGAAUAUCAGUUAUCAUCAACGUCUUAUUUUUCUUUUUAAUUUGUUUGAAAAGAACUUCAUGUUCGAUAUUAGUAAAAUCUUCAUGAUUUUUUUUUUGCAUUAUAUAUACUUACCAUAUAUUACAUGGUCAAGAUUACUAGAUUUGAGGCGCAAUGAGAUUAUGUUUUUAAAAUCUCAAAUUUAAAAUAAGAAUAUUUUAGAGUCUUUUUCCCAUUCUUCAAUAUUUCAUCUGCACGUCAUUUUCAUUUUUGUGUGCUUCAACAACCAUAAUCCCUCUUUAUUCCUGUCAAAAAAUCAUCUUUUUUGGUUAUUUUGUUCAAAGCUCAUUCCUCCUUCAUUUUGUUUUAGAGUUUUCACAAAUUUUUUCAUUCAGAAAAAUAUUCUUUUUUCAAGAAGUAAGUAAAAAUGUUGUCACAUAAAAAUGAAAUACCACCUCCACUUGAUUUUCCAAGACCUUUGACUUAGAUUUCAUCUAGAGAUAGUACUGAUGAUAUUGAUACUAUAAUCACAAGCAAACAUCAAUGCCAAUUUGGUGAUUGGACUUCUCUUUGUAGGAGGUGCAUUUUAAGAAAAAGAGGAUUUCCAAAAUCUCUUUAGCCCCACUUAUUCACGCCUUUCUCCAUGACCUCACGAUCAUAAAGAUUUUGGAAAUCCCUUUUUCUUGAAUUGUGCCUCCUACAAAGAGAAGUAAUCACUAGCUUUGCAUUGAUGAUCGUGUGUGAUUAUAGGAUCAUCAAUACUAUUUGUAGAUGAAAUCUUAAGCAAAGGUUUUGAAAAAACAGGUGGAGGUGGAGGUGAUGUUUCAUUUUUCUGUGAUGACAUUCUUACUUCUUCUUGAAAAGAGAAAUUCUUUCAGGAUGGAAAAUGAGUGAUAGCUCUAAUGCAAAACGAAUAAGGAAAGAGCUCUGAGAGAGAAAGAUGACUGAAAAAGAUAAUUUCUUGAUAGGAAAUGUUCAAAAAAAAAAGAUAAUUUCUUGACAGGAAUAAAGACGGAUUUUGGUUGUUGAAGCACACAAAAAUUAGAAUGAAGUGCAGAUGAAAUAGUGAAGUGUGGGAAAAAUACUCUAGAAAUAUUCUUAAUUGAAAUUUGAGAUUUUAAUAAUAUAAUCUCAUUGUACCGCAAAUCUAGUGCCAAAAUAUUAACAUUUAGUAGUACAAUAUUUUCCUUAUAUAUAGAUGGAGUCUUAAUUAAGUAAACUGUAUAUAUGUUUGUAUAAUUCAUAAAAAUAGUUCUAUUUGUGCAAGGAGGCAAUCCUAAGGUUUGUAUUUUCCCAAGAAGUACAAUAUUUAAUAAAUUAAUAUUUCUCCUUUCCUUUUUUGUUUUAGUUUGCUUAUGUAUCGUUCAACUUCAAUUAUUUAAAUUUACUUUGAAGGAGGAACAUUCUUUUUCUGUAAGAUUGUCCCUUUAUAAGAGACAUAAGUAUUUGAUUUUUAAAAAUAGUGAAAGAAAACUACACACCAACAAUUAUUUCUAGAAACCUGGUUCCUAUAGUCAUAUUAGAACAAAAGUAAUUAACACUUGAUAUUUUCGUAGAAAACUUCCUUGCUCAAGGGAAUAAAAAAAUCAUGACCUACAGUGUGUAGGAUUUUAAGCAACCUCCACUAACUUCAAAGAGCGAUUUCAAAUUACAACUCUAUUUUCUAAGAGAAUAACUCUAGUACCUCAACUCAACAGUUAACUCUAAUUGUUCUAACAAUUCUCUAAGAAGAUAAGCCCUCUUCUUGUUACAAACCUCACUAACUACUCUCCAAGAAGUCAAACUUUCUUCUUGUUACAAUAUUCACUAACUACUCUUCAAGAAGUCAAACUCGCUUCUUGUUACAAACCUCACUAACUACUCUCCAAGAAGUCAAACUUUCUUCUUGUUACAAUAUUCACUAACUACUCUUCAAGAAGUCAAACUCGCUUCUUGUUACAAACCUCACUAACUACUCUCCAAGAAGUCAAACUUUCUUCUUGUUACAAUAUUCACUAACUACUCUUCAAGAAGUCAAACUCGCUUCUUGUUACAAACCUCACUAACUACUCUCCAAGAAGUCAAACUUUCUUCUUGUUACAAUAUUCACUAACUACUCUUCAAGAAGUCAAACUCGCUUCUUGUUACAAACCUCACCCACACAACUACUCUCUUUAGUCUAGGAAUUAUUACAACUCAAUAAUAAAUCUAGAACAAUUCAACAAAGACUAAUAACUCUAGCCUUUUUCUAAUCAAACUUCAAUAUUCAAUAGGACAGACUUGAACAUAAAUCGUGAACCAUGUUCCUGUAUUAUUAUGAUGAAGUCCUAUAGUUUUGUUCUAAUGACUAUUGCUAUCAAGAUGAUAUCAUUGAGUACUAAGCAAGAUACUUUAUGGAUCAAAUGGAUACACAAUUUAUAUAUAAAAGACAAGACACUUGAUUCCAUGGUGACACUCAAUUCUCAGUUGUAUGGAGGAAAAGAAGAAUCAUACAAAAUUAGAAAUACGAGAAGAGAUGGAUUUCAAGAAAGGCUGCUGGUACAAGCCCAAAAGCUGGUAUUCUGGGGUUCCUCUUCGCAACAACUACGGGACGAACGAAAUGCUAGAAAGUGGUUCAUGAUGCUGGCCAAGUUGGACUCCUUUCCUAUUUAGGCAUAUAAUUUUUUUCUUUUCUAUAUGGUUAGGAUUCAAUGAAUAAUUUGUAGGACUAGUUCUAGAGUACAAUGACCUAGUGGUUUUGUAAUUCUUACACUUGGUUAAAAUAAAAUCUUUCAUUUUUGACCAAAACAAACAGUUAACUUAACUUUUCUAACAACUAUCCAAGAAGAUAAACUCUCUUUUUGUUAACAAACCUCACUAACUACUCUCCAAGAAGUCAAACUCUCUUCUUGUUACAGUCUUCACUAAGUACUCUUGUUUGACUUCUUGUUACAAACCUCACCCACACAACUACUCUCUUAAAUCUAGGAAUUAUUACAACUAGGGGCGGAUUUACACGGAGUUCAGGGGGUUCACCCGAACCCCAUGAAUCAAAAAAUUAUACUGUCUAUAUAUAUAUAUAUAUAUAUAUUGAAUCCCCUCAACACAAGUAAGUGGCUUGGUUCAUCGGCUAUGGGGGUUCAAAAACUAGUAGUCGUAUGUGUUUAAAUCUGGCUAGCAACAUUUUUCAAUGUUUUAGCUUGAAAUCUAGUAUAACUUAAUUGUCAACACUAUUUAACAUGUUUUUUAACCCCUCAACAAAAAUUUUAGGUUCUCCACUGAUUACAACUCAAAAAUAACAUUGAUUACAACUUAAUAAUAAACCUAGAGCAACUCAUCAAAGACUAGUAACUCUAGCUUUUUUCUAAUAAAACUUCAAUAUUCAAUAGAACUACUUGAACACAACUAGUAGUGAACCAGGUUCUUGUAUUACUGUGACGAAGUCAUGUAGUUUUUCUCCAAUGGCUACUGCUCUUAAGAUGAUCUAUUUCAUGAAUAUGCAAUAAUUGCGGCUCUUAAUGGUCUUCAUGCCAUAUAUACUGGAGAUUUGUCUUGCCCUAGUAUAUCACGGAUCAUGACUUUUACUUCGGAUAGGACUUGGUCUCCUAUAAGGAAAUUUCCAAUUUUCUUCCUUUAAAAGAGUUUCAUCCUAUAAGGAAACUUUGACUCCUCUUUGGACUUUAAUUUUACUCCUAUUUCUUUCCUUUUCUGCUCUUUUACUUAAGCUGUUUCUUUUUUUGCUCCUUUAUUUCUGUAAUUUAUUAGUUACUUUCUUUGCUGCAAUCUCCCAUAUGUAUACAGGCUGUCUGCAUUCACGUCUAGGGAUCUGGUUCACCUGAUAUAAUCUAUAUAAGACAACAAGUAGCAAACAACGUUCACUUUAUCAAUCAUCAAAACUACUUAUAUGUUCUCCUAUUUCUCAACAAUUUCCCCCCUUUUUGAUGAUGAUAAACAAUGCAACAUAGUUUACUUUGUCAUACAUCAAAACUACAUACUACUGUUACAUUUCUAUAGGACUAAACUGUUAAAGUCGCCUUUGGUAGGAAAAACAUCACGCCAAAGUGAGACUUUUUUUGUAUGAAUCUUGAUUAAUCAGCCCCAAUCAUUUUUAUCAAAUUCAAAUUCACAUCUAUUUAAAUAUGAUAUGAUUUCAAAGUUUGAAAAUUUGUCUUACUUUGCUAGACCCCAAAACUUAAAACAUGUUCAACUAGAGAAACUUACAUACUAGUAUGCAUUAUCAUCAUUUUAUGUUUUACUUCUCUCUUUAUUUUACAUAAGACAUUAGCCGUCGAGUGGUGGAUUCAAUCCCUCCGAGAGCUUCAUUCUUGUGUCCCUCAAUAUCCCACUACACUACUUUAGUUGCCUUUAUUUGAUUAAUGACUUUUCCGACCUCAACUUGUGCAAUUCUAUGGGAUGCUUUAUGUUUUUGCUCAUCAUCUUUCGUGCACUUCUCAUCUUGUUCAAUAUCAGCAACCUCUCGUUUCGAUCUACGUAUCAAUUUUCUUGCAUCAUCUAUUUGAAUCUUCAAAUGUUCUUUUUUCUCCUUAUUAUUUCAUGUAUUUCUUGAGUAUGUUAGAUUUCCUUUCUAAUAUCAUAUGCACGAAGAAAUACAUUUAAAACUUUUUUCUCCAAUUCUGAAACAGAACAUAUAUCUUUAUAUCUCUCUACAGUAAGUAAAUCAUAUUUAUAAGCAGUCAUAUUCUUGGCAUCUUCAUAGAAUGAUCCAUAAUCAACAUCGAUCCAAUUCAAUGUGGAGAAAGCAUGCAUAAUUGACAAAAUAAACCAUGUUAUUCACGCUAGUAGUCGUCCAUAAGUGAGAAGAGAGAUAAGAAUAGACUGAACUUCAUCAAUCAACGCUUUUUUUCGUGUAUUUGACUUUAGGAAGAAUAUGUUUGUUUGGAUGACUCUAAUCUUGAUAAAGGAUUUAGUUUUAGCUUUGUCUAUUAAGAUUGGAGACACCAAACCAAACACAUUCUUCCUAAAUGCAUGAAAAAUCUAAAGAGUGUUGACUGGUGAAGUCCAGUCUAUGUUGGUGUCACAUCUCACUUCUGAGAUGACUACUAGUGUGGAUGACGGGGUUUAUUUUGCAAAAUCUUCUUUCUUCAAAUUGAAUUGGAUCGGUGUUGAUCAUGGUUCAUUCUACGAAGAUGCCAAAACAUGAUUGUUUGUAAAUAUGGUUUACUCAUUGCAGAGAGACAAAGAUAUGUGAAUGUUUCAGAAUUGGAGAAAAAAGGUUUAGACGAUGUUCUUCGUGCAAAUGAUAUUUUUAAAAGAAAAUUGAACAUACUCAAGAAAAAUAGGAAAAUAAUAAGGAGAAAACGAAACAUUUGAAGAUACAAUAGAAAAUGAAAGAAAAUUGAUUCAUAGAUUGAAACGAGAGGUUGCUGAUAUUGAUCCAGAUGAGAAGUGCACAUAAGAUGAUGAGCAAAAACAUAGAGCAACCUAUAGGAUUGCACAAGCUUAGGUAGAAAAAAUCAUAAAUCAAACAAAAGAAGCUAGAGUAGUGCAGUGGGAUAUUGAGCGACACAAGAAUAAAGUUCUCCAAGGGAUUGAAUCAACCACUUGAUUGCUACUGUAUCAUGUAAAAGAAAGAGAGAAGUAAAAUAUGAAAUGAUGAUAAUGCAUACUGGUAUGUAAGUUUCUCUAGUUGAACAAAUUUUAAGUUUUUGGAUCUAACAAAGUAGGAUCAAUUUUCAAACUUUGAAACCACAUCCUCUUUAAAUAGAUGUGAAGUUGAAUUUGACAAAACUGAUUGGGGUUGAUUAAUAAAGAUUCGUAGAGAAAAGUUCCACUUUGGGGAGAAACUUUUCUUACCAAAGAAGACUUUAACAGUGUAUUCGUAGGGAACUGUAAUAAUAAUAUCCCUAUUUUUUAAAAAUCAAACACUCAAGUCUCUUUUAAAGGGACAAUCUUACCCAAAAAAAAUGUUUCUCCUUUAAAGUAAAUUUAAAUAAUUGUAGUUGAACAUAAAUAACCAUACUAAAACCAAAAGGAAAGGACAAAUUUCAAUUUAUUAAAAAUAUUGUAAUUUUUGAGAAAAUACAAACAUAAGAAUUGCCUAGUUGAACAAAUAGAACUAUUGUUAUGAAUUGUACACACAUAUAUAGUUUACUUAGAGCAUGUUUGAAUUGAGUUGGUCAAACCUACUUUUAGGUCAUUUUAACUUUUUAAAGUGUUUGGCGGGAUUAAAAAUAACUUACAAUAAGUUUAAAAUGACUUAAAAAUCAAAAGUAGGUCUCCCCCUACUUUUUAUUUGUUGAUUUAAAAAUAAUUUCAAUUUGACUUUUUUAUUUUUGGACUUACAAGCUACUUUUUAAGCCAAUCCAAACGGGCUCUUAAUUAAGACUACACGCACAUAUGUACACACACAUAUAUAUGGAAAUUAUUGUACUACUGAAGUCUAACAGUAUGACACUAAAGGUCAUAUUUCAAAUUGAAUAAUAAUAUGUAGGGCAAGCGAUGUUACGUUUCUUAAAAUACCUCUUAACCUCUUGUUGCAACAUAUAUCUUUUUGCAAUUGAGCAUCACCUGCUUCAGCCUGAAAUAAAUGGAAUGUACACAUUGAAGAAGUAAUUUUGAUAACGUGAUACUAGAUACACAUUCAUGAGAAAAAACUAGAUAUACACUAGAUUAACCAAUUUUCUCGUUGGCUUGUCAAAAAAAUUGAGCAAAUCAUGCAAAAUACUAGUCAUCCUGAGGGGUUACCCGUCCUCAGUUUGUUCUUAACUAAAAAAUCACCAUAGCUUUAAACAUAAACCCAGAAAGCAAUAGAGCAAAUACUUUCAAUGCAACAAACCAAUGGUUACCAACUUAGCAUUUUAUAGAACUACAAUAGAAAUUAAAGAUUCAUCACCACUUAACAAGGGCAAAUCUAUGAAUUCACUAAAGUUACAAUAAAUAGUAUCCUUAAAAUCUUUUUCAAUCAUAAAUCUUCCUCAGCUAAUUAACUCAGGAAUAGAAUAGCAAUCAAUUUACUAUAAUAUAGAAAAGCUAACAAUAAAAACACUAAACACAAAUAUGAAUGUAAAAUUAUUCACUUAUAUUGAAAACUAUAAAUAAAGACUUGAAAAGAAUUUUUAGUAAAGUUUUAACAUGUAAAGCCUAAUUUAAGUAAGUUACAUUUUAAUGGAAUUAACAUGUACAGGAUGUUACCCGAAAGUUAUUCUUGAACUAAUGAAUGUGUCUGUUCUUACUAGGAUCCAUUUUUGCAAGUCAUCUUCAAGUACAUGCCUUAAAAACAUUCAUCACUUAAUGUCAUUCGAGUAACAACGACAGGCUCAUGAAGGUCAUUCACAUACCAAUGAAAAGGAGAGUGGCGGCUAAGUGAUAUCUAGGGUUUUGAUGGCUAAAGAAUGAAGCCUUUAUAGAGCAGAAAAUUAAGACCUUGCACUUCUUAAAUUUUCUUAAAUAUAAGUAUAUUAUUUGUUAAUUACUCCUUGUUUACUUGUGACUAAAUGCAUAUAUAGCCCUU
rnacentral:lncRNA from 1 species